AUGCACACUCAUGAUCAUGGUCAUAUGAGUUGCUGAGUACUGCUAGCUGUUUAGACUAGUUGUGUUGUUGUGCUGAUUGCUAGCUUAGUUUUGGUUACUGAGAGUUGAAGAGAGAGUUGCAGAAAAUUUGAUAGAUCUACUCUUACUGUUGGACAGUUACUGAGAGAGAAGCAAGGAGGCAGAGGUAAAUUCAGCUCUUACUGUUGGACAGUUAGUGAGAGGGAAGCAGGGAGGAAGAGGUUACUGAGAGUUGAAGAGAGAGUUGCAGAAAAUUUGAUAGAUCUACUCUUACUGUUGGACAGUUACUGAGAGAGAAGCAAGGAGGCAGAGGUAAAUUCAGCUCUUACUGUUGGACAGUUAGUGAGAGGGAAGCAGGGAGGAAGAGGUGAAUAGAGCUCUUAUUGUUGAACAUUUACUGAGAGAGAAGCAAGGAGGCAGAGGUGAAUAGAGCUCUUACUCUUGGACAGUUAUUUAGAGAGAAGCAAGGAGGCAGAGGUAAAUAGAGUUGUUACUGUUGGACAGUUAUUGAGAGACGAGCAAGGAGGAAGAGGUGAAUAGAGCUCUUACUGUUGGACAGUUACUGACACAGAAGCAAGGAGGCAGAGGUGAAUAGAACUCUUACUGUUGGACAGUUAAUGAGAGAGAAGCAAGGAGGCAGAGGUAAAUAGAACUCUUAUUGUUGGACAGUUACUGACACAGAAGCAAGGAGGCAGAGGUGAAUAGAACUCUUACUGUUGGACAGUUAAUGAGAGAGAAGCAAGGAGGCAGAGGUAAAUAGAGUUGUUACUGUUGGAAAGUUAUUGAGAGACAAGCAAGGAGGAAGAGGUGAAUAGAGCUGUUACUGUUGGACAGUUACUGAGACAGAAGCAAGGAGGCAGAGGUGAACAGAACUCUUACUGUUGGACAGUUAAUGAGAGAGAAGCAAGGAGGCAGAGGUAAAUAGAACUCUUAUUGUUGGACAGUUACUGACACAGAAGCAAGGAGGCAGAGGUGAAUAGAACUCUUACUGUUGGACAGUUAAUGAGAGAGAAGCAAGGAGGCAGAGGUAAAUAGAGUUGUUACUGUUGGACAGUUAUUGAGAGACAAGCAAGGAGGAAGAGGUGAAUAGAGCUGUUACUGUUGGACAGUUACUGAGACAGAAGCAAGGAGGCAGAGGUGAAUAGAGCUCUUACUGUUGGACAGUUAAUGAGAGAGAAGCAAGGAGGCAGAGGUAAAUAGAGUUGUUACUGUUGGACAGUUAUUGAGAGACAAGCAAGGAGGAAGAGGUGAAUAGAGCUCUUACUGUUGGAC
rnacentral:lncRNA from 1 species